UACAGAGGGUGCAAGCGUUAAUCGGAAUUACUGGGCGUAAAGGGAGCGUAGGUGGCUCGAUAAGUCAGAUGUGAAAUCCCCGGGCUCAACCUGGGAACUGCAUCUGAUACUGUUGAGCUAGAGUAGGUGAGAGGGAGGUAGAAUUUCAGGUGUAGCGGUGAAAUGCGUAGAGAUCUGAAGGAAUACCGAUGGCGAAGGCAGCCUCCUGGCAUCAUACUGACACUGAGGCUCGAAAGCGUGGGUAGCAAACAGG
rnacentral:rRNA from 1 species